GUAACGUAUGGUGAACGUAGGGUAAAAUUAGGAGACUUAGUAAACGCAGACAUAUUAUGGACGAACCUCUCAUAUCAUGGCCCUCAAAAGAAGGCGCGGUGUAUAUUAUGAUACUAUCAGGGCCAGAUGCAAGUUACUUGGAUAGUAAGAAGAAUUCCUACGAACACUGGAUAAUUGGUAAUAUUCCCGGCACGGAUUUAGAGAAUGGAGGUAAACUUUCCGAAUAUGUUGGGCUAACGAAAGCCGCUUACUGUCAAGGCACUACUCACCGGCUGGUUUUCUACGUGUUUGAACAGCCUAGAGGAAAGAAAAUGAAGUUUGAAGGAGCUCUGAUUAAAAAGAAAGACAUAGGCAGAAUUAGAGGAAUGCUUUCCAUGGAGGACUUCGUGUUGCGUUACGACCUAGGAGAUCCAUAUACGCAGUACAUUUCUUCGAAGUAUUCUUCAACAAGACAAAGCUGUGAUCAUAUUUACGAAGACUUCUGUUUUUAUUACAGUGACAUUCAUGCACUAAUGUGUGCCCAAAGUCCGUCACGAAUCUUGUUUUGUUGUUAUUGUUUUCCUCUCCCACCCUUUUGAAGAGGACUGCGAUUAAAUCCUGCUUUCAUUUUCGGUUACGUGACCUGAUUGGAUCGAACUUGACAUACUUAACAUCUACAGAGUUAAGGGGCAGAUACACCUGAGAGCUAGACGCGCGUCUUGAGAGGCGAGUAGGCCUUCGGCCGUGUUCGGCAAUCUUCGUAGCCAAUCAGGUCGCAACUCGCCACUCGUAACUCGCUCAAAGUAGGAUCGGAUCCUACUUUUCGGGACAAGACGCGCGUGUAGCUCGCAGGUGUAUCUGGACCUUCAGACUUCGACAAGUGACAUUGAUAUAUUCAAAACUGAUCGACACAAAAUUGAUCCAACAAAAAUCAAUUCAUUGAAGGGUCUUCAAACGUUAUCUUCCCCACACUCAUUGUGUUUAGCAAUAAAUUAAUUUAGUAAUUGAUCUAUUGACAUCGAUGUUUUUCACCUUAAUCUAAGAUCAAUAACCCCUAUAUCCCCAAAAAAUCAGUUCUCCGUUAUUGCGGAUGAUGAGCAAAAUUUAGCUCCUCCGAAGAAUAACGCAAAAUAAUAAUGAUAAAAAAUAUACUUGAAUAAAUAUUUUACACCACUUAUAAAGGCGUUAUUUUAGAUCUAUUAUCUCAAAAAUUAUGUGCUAAAUUGGAACUUACCCGGGAUAGUACCUAUGAACUUGUGUGGCAUUUUUCCAAACGCCAGUCAAUAACGUAAAUCACAAUUGAGUUCGAGUCAACGACAGGGCUAAAUUGGCAUCGAUGUACAGGAUGCUUUGUGCACUCACGAUACUGGAUCUCGUUCUGGUUCGUGUAAAAUCUAGCGAGGUUGCAAAAGACGUGGUUCUAGCGCUCAGAAAUAUCACAAUGUCGGUGAAGAAUAGGUUCUCAGAGAAAAUCAACUUAAGACUUUGACCAGUCCCAUGUUCAACCUCCUUUUUCACGCAUUCAAAUAUCAAUUUUCGGCGUAAUUUUGGCAUGAAAAUGUUCAUCUAAACGUGUAAAGUGAGACUUAAAAAUGAAACGACUUACUUAAUUGCCUAUUUUUCUCUCACAUACUGGGCUCUUUCUUGGCCGGGCCCGGGCACAGUGAAGUCUUCCAAAACACUGAAAAAUAUACACCGCACAAACAAUAAACUAGAGCU
rnacentral:lncRNA from 1 species